rnacentral:rRNA from 1 species
GAUGAACGCUGGCGGCGUGCCUAAUACAUGCAAGUCGAGCGAACGGACGAGAAGCUUGCUUCUCUGAUGUUAGCGGCGGACGGGUGAGUAACACGUGGAUAACCUACCUAUAAGACUGGGAUAACUUCGGGAAACCGGAGCUAAUACCGGAUGAUAUUUUGAAACGCAUGGUUCAAAAGUGAAAGACGGUCUUGCUGUCACUUAUAGAUGGAUCCGCGCUGCAUUAGCUAGUUGGUAAGGUAACGGCUUAACAAGGCAACGAUGCAUAGCCGACCUGAGAGGGUGAUCGGCCACACUGGAACUGAGACACGGUCCAGACUCCUACGGGAGGCAGCAGUAGGGAAUCUUCCGCAAUGGGCGAAAGCCUGACGGAGCAACGCCGCGUGAGUGAUGAAGGUCUUCGGAUCGUAAAACUCUGUUAUUAGGGAAGAACAUAUGUGUAAGUAACUGUGCACAUCUUGACGGUACCUAAUCAGAAAGCCACGGCUAACUACGUG